AGGACAAGAUUUAUAGACGAAUGGAGCCCGAAAAAGGAGGAGGGGAGAGUUUUUUUUUGAUCUAUCAGAAUCAAAAAGCAGACUGGUAUCUAAAAGAGCAUUAAGUUUUUUUUUCAAUAAAGACACAUUGGAACACAAGUCUUGUUCAAGUAUUGUGUUGAAAAUUUGCAGAAAUAACCACAGAAGAAA
ensembl:ncRNA F52E4.10 ncRNA